AUUGAACGCUGGCGGCAGGCCUAACACAUGCAAGUCGAGCGGAUGAAGGGAGCUUGCUCCUGGAUUCAGCGGCGGACGGGUGAGUAAUGCCUAGGAAUCUUCCUGGUAGUGGGGGAUAACGUCCUGAAACGGGCGCUAAUACCGCAUACGUCCUGAGGUAGAAAGUUGGGGAUCUUCGGACCUCACGCUAUCAUAUGAGCCUAGGUCGGAUUAGCUAGUUGGUGUGGUAAAGGCCUACCAAGGCGACGAUCCGUAACUGGUGUGAGAGGAUGAUCAGUCACACGGGAACUGAGACACGGACAAGACUCCUACGGGAGGCAGCAGUGGGGAAUAGUGGACAAUGGGCGAAAGCCUGAUCCAGCAAUGCCGAGUGUGUGAAGAAGGUCUUCGGAUUGUAAAGCACUUUAAGUUGGGAGGAAGGGCAGUAAGUUAAUACCUUGCUGUUUUGACGUUACCAACAGAAUAAGCACCGGCUAACUUCGUG
rnacentral:rRNA from 1 species